rnacentral:rRNA from 1 species
UACAGAGGGUGCAAGCGUUGUUCGGAAUUAUUGGGCGUAAAGCGCGUGUAGGCGGCCUUGUAAGUCAGGUGUGAAAGCCCUCGGCUCAACCGAGGAACAGCGCUUGAUACUGCAAGGCUUGAGGGAGACAGGGGUAAGCGGAACUGAUGGUGGAGCGGUGAAAUGCGUUGAUAUCAUCAGGAACACCGGUGGCGAAAGCGGCUUACUGGGUCUCUUCUGACGCUGAGGAACGAAAGCUAGGGUAAGCGAACGGGG